UGUUGUGUCUCAUACAAAACCCUCACUUUA
rnacentral:piRNA from 1 species